GAAAACUUGGUCCCAAUUUCUUUUACUUUUUUAUCUAUAAUGAUACAUGCAAAGGAUAACCCCUUAACCAGUGAGGUAUUUUACUAAUAAAUUAAAAUACAAAAUAAACAAAUGACAUAAAGAAAAAUUUUUUUCUAAAAACAUAGAAACCCACAACAGCAGUACUAAAAAUUAAGCAAUUAGUAAAAUCUAGACUUAAUAAUAGAAAAAGCAUUGGUAAAAAUACGUGCCAGCCACCGCGGUUAUACGUAAAAUGCAAAAAGUAAUAAAAACAUCUUAGUGAUAAACUAAUCACCUCUAGUGAAAAAAAAUUAAAUCAAAACAACAGUCAAAUGUAAAAAAUAAAAGAAAACCCACUACGCAAAAGCAAAACACUAAUGACAAAUCACGUAAAUAUAAAAACAAACCAGGAUUAGAGACCCUGCUAUGUUAUAUCAUAAACAAGAAAAAAGAACUACUAGUCACAAAACUUAAAACUUAAAGGACUUGGCGGUUUUUUAGACCUUCCUAGAGGAGCCUGCCACACAAUUGUCAACCCACAAAACACCUUACCUAACUUAGAAUAAACAGCCUGUAUAUCAUCAUCGUCAGCUCACCUUUACCAAAAGAGAAGUAAGCAAAAAGGAAACCCCAAAACGUUAGAUCAAGAUGCAGCCAAUAGAUAGGAGCAAGGUGGGCUACAAUAUUCUUCACGAAUAACGAAUUUUUUAUUUAAAUAAAAAAAUGAAGUAGGAUUUAGCAGUAAUGAGAAUUAAAGAAAAGACCCAUGAAAAAGCCCUAAAAUACGUACACACCGCCCGUCACUCUCUUUAACAUAAAAAGAGAAAAGUCGUAACAAGGUAAGAGUAGGGGAACCUGCUCUUGGAA
rnacentral:ncRNA from 1 species